AUUUAAUACUCAAAAAUUUCUCAACAUUAAUUUAUAUAUCAGUAGUACAUUAAAAAUUUCUCAAAAUUAACUUAAGAGCAUUUAUAUGGCCCCAAGUCCUAAAAAUGAACAUAAAAUUCAUAGCAUCAAGUUGCAGAUAGGAAAAGGAUCAAAUGCUUUGAAACAUAUUUAUAUAAAAGAAGAAAACUAACUGUAUGUACACUCCAUUAGAAUGA
rnacentral:misc_RNA from 1 species